GCCCUUAGUUUGAUCCUGGCUCAGAACAAACGCUGGCGGCGUGCCUAACACAUGCAAGUCGUACGAGAAAGGGUCCUUCGGGACCUGAGUAAAGUGGCGCACGGGUGAGUAACGCGUGGAUAAUCUGCCCUUCAGUUGGGAACAACUCAUCGAAAGGUGGGCUAAUACCGAAUAACGCUGUGAGACUUUGGUCGAUCAGCCAAAGAUGGCCUCUGCUUGCAUGCUAUCGCUGAGGGAUGAGUCCGCGUACCAUUAGCUAGUUGGUAGGGUAAUGGCCUACCAAGGCGACGAUGGUUAGCUGGUCUGAGAGGAUGAUCAGCCACACUGGAACUGAGACACGGUCCAGACUCCUACGGGAGGCAGCAGUGAGGAAUCUUGCGCAAUGGGGGCAACCCUGACGCAGCAACGCCGCGUGAGUGAGGAAGGUCUUCGGAUCGUAAAGCUCUGUCGGAUGGAAAGAACCGCAUAGGGGUUAAUAUCCCCUGUGUCUGACGGUACCAUCAAAGGAAGCACCGGCUAACUCCGUGCCAGCAGCCGCGGUAAUACGGGGGGUGCAAGCGUUGUUCGGAAUUAUUGGGCGUAAAAGAGCGUGUAGGCGGCCUGAUGUGUCAGAUGUUGAAGCCCUG
rnacentral:rRNA from 1 species